UGCAAGUCGAACGAGAAUCUGUGGAAAGAGGAUUCGUCCAAUUGAAGCAGAGGACAGUGGCGGACGGGUGAGUAACGCGUGGGGAACCUGCCUUUCAGAGGGGGACAACAGUUGGAAACGACUGCUAAUACCGCAUAACAUAUAGAUGUCGCAUGGCAUUUAUAUCAAAGAUUUAUCGCUGAAAGAUGGCCUCGCGUCUGAUUAGCUAGUUGGUGAGGUAACGGCCCACCAAGGCGACGAUCAGUAGCCGGACUGAGAGGUUGAACGGCCACAUUGGGACUGAGAUACGGCCCAGACUCCUACGGGAGGCAGCAGUGGGGAAUAUUGGGCAAUGGGCGCAAGCCUGACCCAGCAACGCCGCGUGAAGGAAGAAGGCUUUCGGGUUGUAAACUUCUUUUGUCAGGGACGAGUAGAAGACGGUACCUGACGAAUAAGCCACGGCUAACUACGUGCCAGCAGCCGCGGUAAUACGUAGGUGGCAAGCGUUGUCCGGAUUUACUGGGUGUAAAGGGCGUGUAGCCGGGAGGGCAAGUCAGAUGUGAAAUCCACGGGCUCAACUCGUGAACUGCAUUUGAAACUACUCUUCUUGAGUAUCGGAGAGGCAAUCGGAAUUCCUAGUGUAGCGGUGAAAUGCGUAGAUAUUAGGAGGAACACCAGUGGCGAAGGCGGAUUGCUGGACGACA
rnacentral:rRNA from 1 species